rnacentral:piRNA from 1 species
UGGACGGUGCGUCCUCUUUGGCUGGCAGC